UACGUAGGGGGCAAGCGUUAUCCGGAUUUACUGGGUGUAAAGGGAGCGUAGACGGCAGAGCAAGUCUGAAGUGAAAGCCCGCGGCCCAACUGCGGGACUGCUUUGGAAACUGCCCGGCUAGAGUGCUGGAGAGGUAAGCGGAAUUCCUAGUGUAGCGGUGAAAUGCGUAGAUAUUAGGAGGAACACCAGUGGCCGAAGGCGGCUUGACUGGACAGUAACUGACGUUCGAGGCUCGAAAGGCGGUGGGGGAAGCAAACAGG
rnacentral:rRNA from 1 species